AUUGAACGCUGGCGGCAGGCCUAACACAUGCAAGUCGAGCGGGGUUUUCGGACCUAGCGGCGGACGGGUGAGUAAUGCGUAGGAAGCUGCCCGAUAGAGGGGGAUACCAGUUGGAAACGACUGUUAAUACCGCAUAAUGUCUACGGACCAAAGUGUGGGACCUUCGGGCCACAUGCUAUCGGAUGCGCCUACGUGGGAUUAGCCAGUUGGUGGGGUAAUGGCUCACCAAGGCGACGAUCCCUAGCUGGUUUGAGAGGAUGAUCAGCCACACUGGAACUGAGACACGGUCCAGACUCCUACGGGAGGCAGCAGUGGGGAAUAUUGGACAAUGGGCGCAAGCCUGAUCCAGCCAUGCCGCGUGUGUGAAGAAGGCCUUCGGGUUGUAAAGCACUUUCAGUAGGGAGGAAGGGUGUUGUGUUAAUAGCACAGCAUUUUGACGUUACCUACAGAAGAAGCACCGGCUAACUCUGUGCCAGCCGCCGCAGUAAUAC
rnacentral:rRNA from 1 species